CUAUAAACACCAGUGUGUGAAGAAUUGUUGAUUACAAUGGCCCUUAUUCAUUUACAUACUCAACAUGUCUUCAGUAAGAAACUAGCAAUAAUCCUCAAGCAUUUAAAUUGCAGGAUGGGAUCCUUUGGACAUCCUGAAAAUUACAUUAAAGAGAGAAAAAUUAGAAGACCAAAGAACAAAUUGAAAUAAACUGCAGCUAAGGAAAAUGCUGGUGGGAGCACCCAA